CGGCUAACUCCCGUGCCAGCAGCCGCGGUAAUACGGAGGAUCCGAGCGUUAUCCGGAAUCAUUGGGUUUAAAGGGUCCGUAGGCGGGCCGUUAGGUCAGGGGUGAAAGUCUGCGGCUCAACCGUAGGACUGCCCUGAUACUGGCGGCCUUGAGUUACGGUGAAGUGGCCAGAAUAUGUGGUGUAGCGGUGAAAUGCAUAGAUAUCACAUGGAAUACCGAUUGCGAAGGCAGGCCACUAACCGUAUACUGACGCUGAUGGACGAAAGCGUGGGUAGCGAACAGGAUUAGAUACCCUGGUAGUCCACGCCGUAAACGAUGGAUACUAGCUGUCCGGCGGCGACGCUGGGCGGCCCAGCGAAAGUGAUAAGUAUCCCACCUGGGGAGUACGUCCGCAAGGAUGAAACUCAAAGGAAUUGACGGGGGCCCGCACAAGCGGUGGAGCAUGUGAUUUAAUUCGAUGAUACGCGAGGAACCUUACCAGGGCUUAAAUGCGGUACGACGGGCCUGGAAACAGGCCUUUCCUCGGACGUACCGCAAGGUGCCGCAUGGUUGUCGUCAGCUCGUGCCGUGAGGUGUCAGGUUAAGUCCUAUAACGAGCGCAACCCCUGCCGUUAGUUGCCAGCAUGUAAAGAUGGGGACUCUAACGGGACUGCCGGUGCAAACCGCGAGGAAGGUGGGGACGACGUCAAAUCAUCACGGCCCUUACGCCCUGGGCCACACACGUGCUACAAUGGCCGGUACAGAGGGCUGCCACCCCGCAAGGGGGCGCGAAUCCUCAAAGCCGGUCACAGUUCGGAUCGGGGCCUGCAACUCGGCCCCGUGAAGCUGGAAUCGCUAGUAAUCGGAUAUCAGCCAUGAUCCGGUGAAUACGUUCCCGGGCCUUGUACACACCGCCCGU
rnacentral:rRNA from 1 species